rnacentral:rRNA from 1 species
CCUACGGGCGGCAGCAGUGGGGGAUAUUGCACAAUGGGGGAAACCCUGAUGCAGCGACGCCGCGUGAGUGAAGAAGUAUUUCGGUAUGUAAAGCUCUAUCAGCAGGGAAGAAAAUGACAGUACCUGACCAAGAAGCCCCGGCUAACUACGUGCCAGCAGCCGCGGUAAUACGUAGGGGGCAAGCGUUAUCCGGAUUUACUGGGUGUAAAGGGAGCGUAGACGGUUAUGUAAGUCUGGAGUGAAAGCCCGGGGCCCAACCCCGGGACUGCUUUGGAAACUGUGUAACUGGAGUACUGGAGGGGCAGGCGGAAUUCCUGGUGUAGCGGUGAAAUGCGGAGAUAUCAGGAGGAACACCGGCGGCGAAGGCGGCCUGCUGGACUGAAACUGACGUUGAGGCUCGAAAGCGUGGGGAGCAAACAGGAUUAGAUACCCCUGUAGUC